UAUGCCAAGCCCAUUAAAAAAAAUUUUCCGUGAAACUAACAGAAAAAGAAUGGUUAAGACUUGUUUUCCAUAAACAAUUAAUUUUCUUCUUUCUCUUUUUUUGUACAUUUAUUAUUUAUUAGAGAAAAGAAAUAUCUGUAGAGAAAAUGAGAACUUGGUGGUCAAGUUUUUUUUUUUAAAAAUUCGUUUUGUGUUAGUUAUUUGAUUCGAGUUGUUGAACAAUUAAUAGUUUAUAUUCUUUUCGCGUAGGAUUAGGAAAAUCUCUGAGUAGUUAUAUUAUGAUCGCGUAGAAUUAAGAAAAUUUUGGAGUGCGUAUCAAUUAAAAAUCGCUUUAAAUGUCAUUAAUGUACAUUAUUUAAAAAAUUUCGUACAUUUAAAGACUGGUUUAGGAAUGUUUCGUGGAAGGAAAACAGUUUAAUUAUGUUAGAUAUUAUUAGCAAACCAAAUUUUUAUUCGUUUUCGGUUUAUAUUGCAAACAAUUUUUUUUUGUUCAGGAACAAACCAAAAUAUAAACCAUCUAAAACAAAACCAAAAGUUCAUCAUAAGCAAAACAAUCUAAAAGGUUUCUUCACUGUGAAAAUAAUUUCCACCAUAAGCAAUAGAAUAUGUUAAUAUAUUCGUGUAGAUAUGUUUUAGUAUGAAUAAUAAUUUACACUAAUUGUUUUUGGGUGUUUAAUUUAGAUAUUUUCAUUGAUUGAUUUAGUACUGUAGAUAUUUCCAUCGAUUGGUUUAGAAGUCUGGACCAUGUGAGUUAAAAAGAAAGCCCAAACAAAAUUAUAAUGGGUAUUUAACCCUAAAUGCCACGUUUUUUAAUGUUAAAACUAAAUGAUUAAACUACUGUCUUUUGAUGGCAGUGGCAUGAAGUGGUAAUAUUCGUGGAAAACUAAGGGGACCAUUAUUGCUUGGGAAUCUUAAAUUUGAUUUUGGUGACGCAAGUUCACUUGAGAAAAUCUUGAAAGAGAAGGGGGAUAAAAUAGCUGGAUUCCUUUUCGAGCCUAUUCAAAGAGAAGCUGGAGUAAGUUUCUUUUUCUAGCAAUAACCAUUUUAGAGGAUGAAUCAUGUUGGUUUUGUAUUGCUUUGGUUAUAAGUUGUUAUUCCUCCUGAGGGUUAUUUGAAUCUGUUAGAGAACUCUGUACAAAGUACAACAUUUUGUUGAUAGCUGAUGGAAAUAUAAGAAAUCAUACACAACA